UCGAACGGGGUUUAUAUGACGGAACUCUCCCGAGGGAAGAUAUAUAAACCUAGUGGCGGACGGGUGAGUAACGCGUGGGCAACCUGCCCUGUACCGGGGGACAACAGCCAGAAAUGGCUGCUAACACCGCAUAAGCCUGCUGUGCCGCAUGGCACAGCAGGGAAAACCACGGUGGUACAGGAUGGGCCCGCGUCUGAUUAGUUAGUUGGCAGGGUAACGGCCUACCAAGACAACGAUCAGUAGCCGGCUUGAGAGAGUGGACGGCCACAUUGGGACUGAGACACGGCCCAGACUCCUGCGGGAGGCAGCGGUGGGGAAUAUUGCACAAUGGGGGGAACCCUGAUGCAGCAAUGCCGCGUGGGUGAAGAAGCACUCCGGUGCGUAAAGCCCUGUCAGCAGGGAAGAAAAUGACAGUACCUGGACAAGAAGCCCCGGCUAACUACGUGCCAGCAGCCGCGGUAAUACGUAGGGGGCAAGCGUUAUCCGGAUUUACUGGGUGUAAAGGGAGCGUAGACGGCAGUGCAAGUCCGAUGUGAAAACCCGGGGCUCAACCCUGGGAGUGCAU
rnacentral:rRNA from 1 species